rnacentral:rRNA from 1 species
CGCCAGCCCGCUCAGAAACUCAAUGAAUUGACGGGGCCCGCACAAGCGGUGGAGUAUGUGGUUAAUCGAUGCAACGCGAAGAACCUUACCUGGUCUUGACAUCCCGGAGACCCUUAGGAAACUAGGGGGUGCUUCCAUCUGGAAGAAUCUGGAGACAGGUGCUGCAUGGCUGUCGUCAGCUCGUGUCGUGAGAUGUUGGGUUAAGUCCCGCAACGAGCGCAACCCUUGCCUUUAGUUGCCAGCAGUUCGGCUGGGCACUCUAAAGGGACUGCCGGUGUUAAACCGGAGGAAGGUGGGGAUGACGUCAAGUCCUCAUGGCCUUUAUGACCAGGGCUACACACGUACUACAAUGGCCGAUACAAAGGGCAGCGACACUGCGAGGUGAAGCCAAUCCCGUAAAAUCGGUCUCAGUCCGGAUUGGAGUCUGCAACUCGACUCCAUGAAGUUGGAAUCGCUAGUAAUCGUGGAUCAGCAUGCCACGGUGAAUACGUUCCCGGGCCUU